GCCCUUUGGAAACAGAUGAUCCAGUUGUUCAUCACCAGACAUGAGAGUCUGAAGGGGGAGCAACAUCAGCCCAUUAUAUAACAAUGGGCACAUUUGUUAGGAAAAGAUCUUCAUCAUAGCUGGACGCAGGAGAGCUUUUGGGGGAAGCAUUACAAGUUUUCUCUGUUUCAUCCUCGACAAAAAUUUCUUCACAACGGCAAUCAAAACUGCAAAAUGCUUUCUCA
rnacentral:misc_RNA from 1 species